CGGACGGGUGAGUAACACGUGGAUAACCUACCUAUAAGACCGGGAUAACUUCGGGAAACCGGAGCUAAUACCAGAUAAUAUUUUGAACCGCAUGGUUCAAAAGUGAAAGACGGUCUUGCUGUCACUUAUAGAUGGAUCCGCGCUGCAUUAGCUAGUUGGUAAGGUAACGGCUUACCAAGGCAACGAUGCAUAGCCGACCUGAGAGGGUGAUCGGCCACACUGGAACUGAGACACGGUCCAG
rnacentral:rRNA from 1 species